rnacentral:rRNA from 1 species
CCCUUCGAUGUUCUGGGCCGCACGCGCGCUACACUGAACAGUUCAACAAGUCUUAACCUUGGCCGAUAGGUCUGGGUAAUCUUUGAACGCUGUUCGUGAUUGGGAUAGACCUUUGCAAUUAUGGGUCUUCAACGAGGAAUUCCUAGUAAACGCAAGUCAUCAGCUUGCAUUGAUUACGUCCCUGCCCUUUGUACACACCGCCCGUCGCACCUACCGAUUGAAUGGUCCGGUGAAAUCUCGGGACGGCGGCUUGGUCGCUUGCGUCCGACUGCUGAAACUUGAUUAAACCAUAUCAUUUAGAGGAAGGUGAAGUCGUAACA